UACGAAGGGGGCUAGCGUUGUUCGGAAUUACUGGGCGUAAAGCGCACGUAGGCGGCUAUUUAAGUCAGGGGUGAAAUCCCAGAGCUCAACUCUGGAACUGCCUUUGAUACUGGGUAUCUCGAGUAUGGAAGAGGUGAGUGGAAUUCCGAGUGUAGAGGUGAAAUUCGUAGAUAUUCGGAGGAACACCAGUGGCGAAGGCGGCUCACUGGUCCAUUACUGACGCUGAGGUGCGAAAGCGUGGGGGGCAAACAGG
rnacentral:rRNA from 1 species